UCCGGUUCAUCACCAGCAGUCUCCUUAGAGUCCCCAACUAAAUGAUGGUAACUAAGGAUAAGGGUUGCGCUCGUUACGGGACUUAACCCAACAUCUCACAACACGAGCUGACGACAGCCAUGCAGCACCUGUCUCUGCAUUCCUUUCGGCACUCUCAUAUCUCUACAAGAUUCGCAGGAUGUCAAGGGUAGGUAAGGUUCUUCGCGUUGCAUCGAAUUAAACCACAUGCUCCACCGCUUGUGCGGGCCCCCGUCAAUUUCUUUGAGUUUUAACCUUGCGGCCGUACUCCCCAGGCGGAGAACUUAUCGCGUUAGCUUCGAUACUAAUAGGUCCAAGCCUACCAACAUCUAGUUCUCAUCGUUUACAGCGUGGACUAC
rnacentral:misc_RNA from 1 species